UUAAUCAGCCAACUUUAUUCACUGGAGCAAAUAUUUAUAUUUUCAUGUCACAUUCACAGAGAUUAACAUAUAUUUUGACAUGUGAUGUGAUGCUAACAUGCAUUAACACUGCAUUGCAGCUCUACCUGCACCAGUCAGUGAACCUGGGUUACAAAAUGUUUGUGUGACCUUGGGGGUGUAGUUUCUGUUAUGUGUGGAGAACCUUAAAUCCUCUUUUUACCAGAUCACACAGAUACGGUUGUAAGAAUUAUCAGAGGCACUGUUGCAAAUUAAAUACAGUUUAUUGAUUUCAUAAGUUUCUUUGGACAGAGAGUUUAUUUUAUUAUACAAAAUUGACCACAUUAAUAGCAAAGGUCUAUGCUGGCCCUGGAAACCUCAAAGCUAAGAUACAAUUAAACCCAAUUAAAUAACAUUAGACUGUUUGGGGGAGGAAUAAUAAUAAAGAAAACACAAAUACAACUAAAUGCACCCAAGUGUUCCCCAACAAAAACACAGUCACACAAAAAGCCCUGGUGAAACAGCAAAGGAAAGAAAAACUCCCCUUCCACUAGUCUCCUCAAUCUGAAUAAAAUAGCUUUGGACCCAGAGACAGCAUAGAUCAUUUUUAUUAUUUAAAACAAGCCAGAAGGCUAGACAAUAAAAACUCCCCUUCCUUCAACAAAACUAGCAAAAAAGAAAAUACCUUUAAUUAAUAAUAACUAACCCAAAAAAAAGGAAAGAAAUACUAAACUAAAACAAAAACUGAAACAGUAGCAGGCCAAUCUGCACAUAAAAGACAUCAAAUUAGACAAGCACCUUAAGUAGUCAGAUAAUUAUGAGAAACUGUGGUUCUCUGUACGUCACUCGCUCUAGAAGUAUCUCUCCUCUGUAGGAAUCAUCAGCCUGGGAUCUGAUCUCCUCAGCGAUCUACCUGCUUUUAAAUGCAACUACUGAUUACCUGUCUGGCUAACGAACCAGCUGCGCUCUGUCACGGCGUUUUCCAUAUAUGGGCAAAAGGAAGAACGCGCAACACUAUACUUCUGGGACAAAAUGCCCCGGCUACAUAAUUAUUCACUUACAUGCAAAAGAGAUCUUGUUUCUGUAUCACUCUAAACCUCUACAGACAUUUAUUAAUGUAGAACUACUGUAUGACUCUGGAACUCAUUAUGGCACAUCACAAUAAUCAUCAGCAUUAUUAUUAUGGUGAAAAUGACCCACAUCCCAACUGUAAACAAUGCAUCCAAGUUGUGUCCAGCAGAGUAAAAAUAUUUCCACAGCAAAUAAAUGAUCAAGUCUCUCUUCACCAAUAUGGUUGAAAAAGGAACUUCUUGUCGUAAUCUAAAAAAAAAUUAUAAGAAACAUAAAAAACUAAAAAGACAAGCAGCAGUAAAACUGCAACAGGCUGCAUACACGUUAAUGCAUACAUACAUAACCAUCCAUGAAUACUAGAUUAAAAACCUUAAAAACAGUAAAAAUGUAGAAAUUACCACAAAGACAAUCAAGACAUUAAUUCCCCAUUUCCCGCUCUUUCCCCUCCCACCAGUGGCAGCAGUAUAGAGUCUAAUUUUCUGCGGUACAAAGGAGUUCAUGAGCCUCUGAACUGAGCAGCCCACUAACAGGAAUCUGCCUUGGAGGGAGUUUCCUCUGCUGGGAGAAAACUGUUACAACGGGUGGCUGGUCCAGAACUGACCUCAACUUGGACAGUGCUUUCUUUUCCACCAGUGUCUCAGCAAACUCCAGGCUCAUCCUAACCACAGAGGCAGCUUUCCUGAUUAGAUGGUCCAACCCUGAUUAGAUGGUCCAACCCAUUUCCUUGUUAUUCCCCAACAGAUCACUGCAUAGGAAGGUAAACUUGCCACAAUCAUCCGAUAAAUUACUGUAUCUCAAAGUUCACAUAAAAAGAGGCAAGAUUCCUCACAAAAUACAUCAGGCUCUGUUCUUUUCUGUAUAUCAUGUUAUGUUUGUCUGUCAGCUCAAAGUAAACCCAGGUACUUGUAUGUGCUGACCACUUCUACAUUAUUACCAUCUAUAGUAAAGGGAGUGUUACCCUGCAAAAGUCCAGUACUGUCUUUGUUCAUGUGAUGAUUGAUGCAUACUCAGAAAAAUGGAAAGCCCAAGAAACUAAGAAAAUCUGCAACUGUACUUUGCAAAGAAAAUCUUUUUCAGAGUCAUUUGUAAGCAGCAGUAACAUCCAUGAUGUAGCAGCUCCCCAGCAGUUGAAUUAACCAGAAAGUCUCGACGGGUGAAUUUAGCGUUUUUAUUUUUCUUCGAGUGAUUUAGAAUCACCACAGUCACCAGUCACCGUGAAAACUAAAACAUAUACAAAUACUAAAAUACAAACAUAAACUUACAAUACAAACAACAAAACAAAACGUACCUCGCUGCUUUCACUGGGGAACACUAAGUGUUGAUUUCUUCAUGCUACUCAGCUUGACAGUUCAAGUCAUUGAUUGACACGACAAUUCUACCAGCUUUUAAAGGGCCUGCCCUCAUUAGUUACGGCAGCCCAAGAGGUACAACAAAAAAA